rnacentral:rRNA from 1 species
UACGUAGGGUGCAAGCGUUGUCCGGAAUUAUUGGGCGUAAAGAGCUCGUAGGCGGCUUGUCGCGUCUGCCGUGAAAACCCAGGGCUCAACCCUGGGCGUGCGGUGGGUACGGGCAGGCUAGAGUGCGGUAGGGGAGAUUGGAAUUCCUGGUGUAGCGGUGGAAUGCGCAGAUAUCAGGAGGAACACCGAUGGCGAAGGCAGAUCUCUGGGCCGCUACUGACGCUGAGGAGCGAAAGCAUGGGGAGCGAACGGG